GAUGAACGCUGGCGGCGUGCCUAAUACAUGCAAGUCGAGCGAACGGACGAGAAGCUUGCUUCUCUGAUGUUAGCGGCGGACGGGUGAGUAACACGUGGAUAACCUACCUAUAAGACUGGGAUAACUUCGGGAAACCGGAGCUAAUACCGGAUGAUAUUUUGAACCGCAUGGUUCAAAAGUGAAAGACGGUCUUGCUGUCACUUAUAGAUGGAUCCGCGCUGCAUUAGCUAGUUGGUAAGGUAACGGCUUACCAAGGCAACGAUGCAUAGCCGACCUGAGAGGGUGAUCGGCCACACUGGAACUGAGACACGGUCCAGACUCCUACGGGAGGCAGCAGUAGGGAAUCUUCCGCAAAGGGCGAAAGCCUGACGGAGCAACGCCGCGUGAGUGAUGAAGGUCUUCGGAUCGUAAAACUCUGUUAUUAGGGAAGAACAUAUGUGUAAGUAACUGUGCACAUCUUGACGGUACCUAAUCAGGAAGCCACGGCUAACUACGUG
rnacentral:rRNA from 1 species